rnacentral:rRNA from 1 species
GAUGAACGCUGGCGGCGUGCUUAACACAUGCAAGUCGAACGGAACUACUCCAAUGAGAGUCUUCGGAAAGGAUUUGGUUUAGUUUAGUGGCGGACGGGUGAGUAACGCGUGGGUAACCUGCCCUAUACAGGGGGAUAACAGUUGGAAACGACUGUUAAUACCGCAUAAGCGCACAGGAGCGCAUGCUCCGGUGUGAAAAACUCCGGUGGUAUAGGAUGGACCCGCGUCUGAUUAGCUGGUUGGCGGGGUAACGGCCCACCAAGGCGACGAUCAGUAGCCGGCAUGAGAGGGUGAACGGCGACAUUGGGACUGAGACACGGCCCAAACUCCUACGGGAGGCAGCAGUGGGGAAUAUUGCACAAUGGGGGAAACCCUGAUGCAGCGACGCCGCGUGAGCGAAGAAGUAUCUCGGUAUGUAAAGCUCUAUCAGAAGGGAAGAAAAUGACGGUACCUGACGAAGAAGCCCCGGCUAACUACGUG